rnacentral:lncRNA from 1 species
AUCAUUUUCUUCUCCAUUUACGUGCUGCAAUUGCCUCAUUAUUCUUCUUCAUUCAUAUCUUCAUUUUGUAAUAUGGUAUCAGAGCCAUAACAAUGGCUGAAAAUCACAGCACAGAUACCCAAUCUGCCACGCAUGAAGACCUCAAUCCAAAUUCCCAAUCUACUGCACAUCAAAAACUCAAUCCAAAUCCUCAACAAUACCAGAACACGUACUCCACACCAAAUCCUGAUGACCCUGCUCAUCCCCACAGUCCAUACUAUAUAAGUGGAAGUGAUAGCUCUGGGACAAUAUUGGUCACUCAUGUACUUGAUAACACCAACUACUAUGCAUGGGCAAGAUCUAUGAAGAGGGCCCUCAGAAUUAAAAACAAACUUGGGUUCAUUGAUGGAAGCCUAACACAGCCAGACCCUACUAGCUUUCUGAUAGAACACUGGCUCCGCUGCAAUGAUCUUGUGAUAGCCUGGCUACAAAACACCAUGUCUAUUGAAGUAAAAUCCUGAACUCUUUAUGCAAAAACCGCUAGAGAGCUAUGGCUGGAACUAGAACAUCGAUUGGCUCAACAAAAUGCCCCACGAAUUUAUGAGGUAAAACAAGCCAUCAGCAACUUAAUGCAAAACCAAGAUGCUGUGAGCGUUUACUUUUCGAAAUACAAAACUCUCCUUGAUGAAUUAUGAAUCCAUGCCUAAUUGCACUUGUGGAGGACUUCGCACUGUUGUUGAUAAUCAGAAAAGGGAUUGGGUCAUGAGAUUUCUUAUGGACCUGAACGAAUCUUAUAAGGAUAUUAAAGCUCAAAUUCUUCUAAUCAAACCUUUGCCUGAUCUCAAUGAAGUAUAUUCUAUUAUACAACAAGAAGAAAAGAGAAGGCAGAUUUCAAUGGACUCUCCAACCAAUGACUCCAUGGCAAUGAUGACUCGUGGAAUUCGAAAUGGAAAUCAGCACUCAACUAAUCGAAAUGCUAAGUAUUUUUACACUCAUUUUUAAAUUGCAGGGCACUCACUGGAAAGAUGCCACAAGGCUAAUCCUAAGAUACCAAUGUGUUCCCACUGUAACUUUCCUGGUCAUAGAAUAGACAAAUGCUUCAAAAUCCAUGGAUACCCCCAAGGACACAAACUCUACAACAAAGUUAAACCCCCCAAUCAUUCUGUAAAUCAGGUGACCAGGAGUGCUCAUUCUCCCAUUACGCAAGAGCAAUACACUCAGCUCAUAGCACUUCUCAACAAGCAGAGUGUUUCACCAUCAACUCAUUUGGCAAGCCAAGUUUGUUCAAUCAUUACUCCUUGCACUACUGAGGAUCAAAUGCCUAAUGUUUCUGGUAUAUCUUUAUGUCUCUCUGCGUUUGCAUCAAAAUCCAAGACACGAGCUAUAAUACCUUGGAUCAUAGACACAGGUGCCACAGAUCAUAUGAUCUGUGACAUUUCCUUCUUCACUAACAUUGUGGCACAGGUUUCCCACUCAGUCACACUCCCUAAUGGGAAUGGUGUUACUGUCACUCAUAUAGGCACAGUACAAAUUUCAGAAAAGUUAAUCCUGCAUGAUGUACUUUGUGUCCCAUCCUUCUCUUUUAAUUUGAUUUCAGCUAGAAAACUAGCAACCAAUUUGAAUUGCUGUCUUAUUUUUCUGUCUCACUUUUGCUUUAUACAGGACCUUUUAACCUGGAAAACGAUUGGGAUGGGUAAGGUGCGGCAUGGUCUGUACCAUCUCCAACAACAGGAAACUUCACCAUCAGCAUUCUUUGACAUUGUAAGCAACACCAAAACCAUCACAGCAGCUGUCACACACAAUGAAGAGUUCGAUCUAUGGCACUACAGAUUAGGACAUCCUUCAUUCAACAUUCUUAAAUCCUUAAAUAGCAAUCAGAUCUCCACAAAUAACAGCAAGCCUUGUAUGAUCUGUCCUUUAGCCAAAAUGCACAAACCCCCUUUUCCUACUAGUCAAUAUCAGUCAGCAAAAUAUUUUGAUUUAGUUCAUUGUGAUCUUUGGGGACCGUGUAAUGAAGUAGCAUAUGAUGGCUCAAAAUAUUUUUUAACAAUAGUAGAAGACUACAGUAAAUGCACUUGGAUAUGUACCUUGAAAUGCAAAUCUGAUGUUGGUGUUACUUUGCAAAGGUUCUGUAAAAUGAUUGAAAAUCAGUUUGAAGCCAAAAUCAAGACAAUUAGAAGUGACAAUGGAGGGGAAUUUAACAUGAAAGAAUUCUAUCUUGAAAAAGGAAUUGUGCAUCAAAAAUCGUGUGUUGAAACUCCACAACAAAACUCUGUAGUGGAGAGGAAGCAUCAACAUAUUCUCAAUGUGGCAAGGGCCUUAAGGUUUCAAAGUGAAAUUCCCAUGAAAUAUUGGAAUGACUAUGUACUCACUGCCGUAUACCUCAUAAACAGGACUCCCUCACCCCUCCCAAAACACAAAACACCUUUUAAAAUUCUCCUCAACAAGAAAGCAAACUAUUCCCACCUUAAAGUUGUUGGAUGCCUGGCAUUUGCCACUACCCUCACUCACAAUAGACACAAAUUUGAUCCAAAAGCCAAACAAUGUAUUUUCUUGGGGUAUCCAUUUGGAAUGAAAGGUUAUAAGCUGCUGGAUUUAGGAGCUAACAAGAUCUUUAUUUCUAGAAAUGUCACAUCCUAUGAAAACAUUUUCCCUUGCAAGGCUAUAGAUCAGUCAAAAACUAAUGCAUUACUUGAUCCAUCAAACUUGCCCUUUAUCCAAACACCAGCCAUAAACCAUUAUCAUGUGGUUGAACCUCAAGAUUUAGAACUUCUACAAUCUUACAACAAAAGCAAUGGGCCACUAAAUGAUCUACCAUCAAACAUCAUCACAUCACCAACAAAAAAUUCCAGUUUUACAAUCUUCCCAGAUAACUCAAGUUCAGAAAAUCCUUUAAACGAAUCUGAAAAUAUCACCUCACCAUCCAUAAAUACAAGUCCUCACCUACCUAGAAGAUCUACCAGAACCAGAAAAUUUCCGCCAUACUUGCAAAAUUUCGUAUGCCAGCAGGCCAGCUCAUCUAUCCUAUUCCAAGAGUUUGAAGGGCAAAAGGUUCAACCAGCUCCAGGUAAUCCUUUCCCACUUGAAGCAACUAUUUCCUAUCAUAAAUUUUCACAUGCACACAAAGCUUUCACCACAUCUAUCACUUCCCACAUAGAGCCAAAC